rnacentral:rRNA from 1 species
UAAGGAAUAUUGCGCAAUGGGCGAAAGCCUGACGCAGCGACGCCGCGUGGGGGAUGAAGGUCUUCGGAUUGUAAACCCCUUUCGGGAGGGAAGAUGGAAUGGGGUAACCCAUUCGGACGGUACCUCCAGAAGCAGCCACGGCUAACUUCGUGCCAGCAGCCGCGGUAAUACGAAGGUGGCAAGCGUUAUUCGGAUUUACUGGGCGUACAGGGAGCGUAGGCGGUUCGGUAAGCCCUCUGUGAAAUCUUCAGGCUUAACCUGGAAAAGUCGGAGGGGACUGCUGGGCUAGAGGACGGGAGAGGAGCGCGGAAUUCCCGGUGUAGCGGUGAAAUGCGUAGAGAUCGGGAGGAAGGCCGGUGGCGAAGGCGGCGCUCUGGAACGUUUCUGACGCUGAGGCUCGAAAGCGUGGGGAGCAAACAGGAUUAGAUACCCGCGUAGUCCCUGAGCGGGCUGGCAAGGCGCAU